GACCCCUCAUGAAAUGCUUUAUGGUUACAAACCUGUCUUUUAUGGAUAAGCCCUGCGAGGAGAAAACAGAUGGUGAAGACACUUGGAAGAACCAAAGCGAACUCAGAAAAACUGCGCGGCAGCUCUUACUGGAGGAACAAGCAAAAAGUAAGCAAGCAUACGAUAACUGGCCUUACCAUGCAUAGAUGUAUGAUGUGGACGAAGUGGUAUUUAUUAAUUUAGUGUCCGAACACACAGGAAAUUCUACUAAAACAAAACCCAAGUACCGAGGCUCCUUGGUGAUAACCGAAGUGUUGCCUGCUGACACGUACAGAGUAGCAGAGCUGAACGAAAACACUGGAAAUAGGUACGCAACGACAGUGCACGUUUUGCAAUUUAAGGUGUGGUUGACAACAAGUAAAAUGCCUUAUCUAGACAACAAUGAAGGGUCAGAUGAAUCUGACCACCCCGUUGACCACCCCCUGGACCAGGAUCACUACGACAAGCCUUUGGCAGUUAGACGCCCACGCAGGCAACAAGUAGUACCUGCCAGAUUGCGCGAGUGCAUGCCAUAAAACAGUCAGUGUUUUCUUAUCUGUGAUUACAUUAACGAGGACGUUAAGAUUUCAGGACGGCCAAGUGUUAGCUAUUUCACAAGCUGCUAGCUAGCGCCCCCUACUUUGUACACCACAAUCUGUGGCCCGAGGCGAGCCUAGUGGUGGGAUAUUUUUGUUGUUGUUGAGUGUGUGUGUGCAAUUGUGCGAUGACGAGGCUGUACGAAUGUGAGCACGAGACUGUGGGUGUGUUCAAUAGAUGCCAUGUGUGAUUAUCCGUGCGACAAACCUGAGUCACUGCGUUGCUUCCUGUGAGCAUUCUUUCUCUUUCUUUUUUUUUUACUUAAUAAAGCCAUUUGCAUUCAAUCAAGCACCAUUGCAAUCUGUGAGACUAUGCUGUCGCCAACGUUACGGUACUCAGUUUUACACCCCACAUGCAAAAGGUAAGGACGUGAUGUUCUGAUAUGCUCCUAUUGAUGCUAAUAGAGUAAUCAAUUGUGGCUGAUUUAUGUUGGGUGGUUUUAUUUCAAGUUCACAUUCAGCACUGCCCAUAGUAUUCAUUCACAUGACAUUGCCAAGCUUGCAACAAAUUGUACAACUGCACAAAGUGUAAAUCAGAGUUGCAAAAAGUUGUUGGUUUUGUGUAUAGAGCAGUGUUACGUAUCACGUGGUUUGAGUGCACCUUGGAUCUGCCUGUGAAGUAUUCUAGAUAAAUAAAUGCACAUACAAAAUGACUCUAACUCCUUUUAGCACUUUGAACUGUUGUAGAUAUUCGGCACUUAGUAACUUUUCACUUAACCCCCCCCACUCACCGCGUCACUUUGCACAACAGGUAAGCACUGUGUUAAAUUUCAAUAUUAAAUGCACAUAUUAGAGAAACCUGCACAGAGGAAGCCGCCAAAAUGGAGAGAUCCGGACCAGGAUGGAGCUCCAAUUGAAGAUGUGACAAACAGUACAAACUUGCCACAGGAAGCUUCCCGUAAUUUGCCGUGGUCCUAUCAAAGAAAUUAAAACACAAGAAAGGGGAGAUGAUGAAAAGAACAGUGUCUGUAUAUCAUGGGAUCAUCACAGUACCAGCGGUCAUAUGAAACCAAGUAAGGGUGCGCGAAUUGUUAUGCUUGUUGUAGCUAACAAAACUGCGAAGGUGGAUGAGAAACAACAUUUGAGGUUUUAUAAAAUUGUUUUUACACACAGGUUUCUUCUGGAGUGGCUGCAUUUGAUGGAAUCACUGUAACCCUGCAAGAGGAGCCAACUACAUCUGUGGUUCCUAAACAUAACUAUGCUCUCAUGGAGACACCACGCACACUGCAGAGGAAGCUAGAUUGUUGUUCAGCAUAAGCUACCACUAAGAGAAAAAGGCUGAAGCUCAGCCAGCAACGAGAGCGUCGUCUCAAAGUUAAAGUGCAAACAUUCAGCAAGAUUAUCAACAACCCGUUGUCUCUUCUUUCUCUCGAACUUGUUUCUGAGGACGCUUCUGUUAUGCUUGAAAAGGCAGCUGUUCCUCUAGAAGUUAUCAAGCGUUUACUGAAGAAAACGCCAAUUGGACCCAGCAAGUCUGCGAAGUUGAGCGGAGAGAAGUUUUCCCCGGUAUUGCGUAUGUUUGCCCCAAGACUACAACUCUAUUCAAGCAAAGCUAAUGCCUACGUUAGAGAAACUUUUGGUUGCUCGUUGCCUCAUAAAUCAACAUUAACAAAGUGGUACAGUGCCCUAAAUAGGGAUCCUGGUUUUUACAGGAGAAGCAAUGGAUGCCAUUGAAGCAAAAUCUAGAAACUAGGCUACAAGGCAAGGAACUUCCUUGCAGCCUCUUUGUUGAUGAGAUGGCCAUAAGGAAGCAUGUUGAAUGGGACGGCAAAACUUUCAGGGGAUAUGUCAACAUAGGGACCAACAUGGAUGAUGACAGCAACAAUGUAGCAACAGAAGCCAUUGUCUUUAUGGUCGUAUCCCUCGACUCCCAUUAAAAAAUCCCUUGCGGCUAUUUUUUGAUCAAUAGCCUUUAUGGGAAAGAAUGUGCAAACCUUGUGAAGCUUUGUUUAAACAAGCUGCAUGAUGCAGGGGUACCUGUAGCAUCAUGUACAUGUGAACUGCAAAGUAAUUUCGCCAUGUUUGCAAAAUUGGGUGCAUCGAUUUAAAAUGGUUGUGUGAGAAACCCGUCAUUUCCUCAUCCAGCUACUCAGGAAAUGUGUACCACUUGCUCGAUGCCUGCCACAUGAUGAAAUUGGUACGAAACAUCUGGCUGCACUUUAAUGCCUGAAAUACACAUCUGGGUCACUAAUAGCAUGGAAUUAGAUUCGCCUGUUGCAUAAGCUGCAUGGGAUGGAAGCCCUUCAUGUUCCUAACAAAGCUGCCUGCUGUUUAUAUCGACUGGCAGAAGCAAAAAAUGGAGGUGAACCUUGCUGCCCAAAUGCUAAGCUCCAGCAUUGCCGAUGCUAUUGAUUUCUGCCGUGAAGACCUUUGGCUUUUUCAGUUCAGAGGAUCGGAAGCGACAGUGACUUUUAUCAGAUUAUUUGAUCGGCCGUUCGAAUGUCUUAACUUUCGCAAGCAUAUUUCUAAGGGGUUCAAAGCACUACUUCACCCUGGCAGUAAAGGCAUACAAACUGGUUUGAGAAGGCAAAAGACUACAUCAGUGGCCUUACUGACGCAUUAGGAAAACUUAUUUGUGAGACAAAUUGGAAAAUCGCCUUCCUUGGAUUCCUAGUGACCAUUGAGAGUACCAUGCGUCUUGCACGUUCACUCCUCCUUGGAAAAGCUCCGCCUUUGUUCUAUGUACAUACAUACAAGCUCUCUCAAGAUCACAUUAAACUCUUCUUUAAUGCUAUGCAUUCCAAAGGGGGCUUCAACAACCCCACAGUACCACAUUUUGUAGCAGCCUAUAAAAGCUUUGUUGUACAUGAUCAUGUAAAGGGUGGUCGAGGGAAUUGCACAUGCCUUGAUGACUCGCGAAUUACAUAUAUAAGCAGUCAGAUCAGUGCUCCAGAUGAACUUGAUGUCACAACAGAGAAAACAAAUGGUACCAAUAAUUCCCUAGAAAUUGUCAACUUUUCAGAGGAAAGUGAACGGAAUGUCUUCCAUCUUUAUCUAUAUAUGUGGCCAAUACUACUGGCUAUAUUGCUGGCUUGGUAUGUCGAAUGGCACAGUGAAGAAUAACUUACUCGCCAUGCCAGCUCGUUACAGUUUCAGAAACGUGCUCAAUAGCACUCUUGAACAG